GGAGGGUGCAAGCGUUAUCCGGAUUCACUGGGUUUAAAGGGUGCGUAGGCGGAAUGGAAAGUCCGUUGUGAAAUCUCUGAGCUUAACUCGGAAAUUGCGGUGGAUACUAUCAUUCUUGAAUACUGUGGAGGUUAGCGGAAUAUGUCAUGUAGCGGUGAAAUGCAUAGAUAUGACAUAGAACACCAAUUGCGAAGGCAGCUGGCUACACAGAUAUUGACGCUGAGGCACGAAAGCGUGGGGAUCAAACAGGAUUAGAUACCCUGGUAGUCCACGCCCUAAACGAUGAUUACUCGACAUUUGCGAUACACAGCAAGUGUCUGAGCGAAAGCAUUAAGUAAUCCACCUGGGAAGUACGACCGCAAGGUUG
rnacentral:rRNA from 1 species